AACGUAGGACACAAGCGUUAUCCGGAGUUACUGGGCGUAAAGGGCGUGUAGGCGGAUCGGUAAGUCUACUCUGAAAGCUCCUGGCUAAACUGGGAGAGGCGAGUGGAGACUGUCGGUCUAGAGUGAGGAAGAGGAAAGUGGAAUUCCGCGUGUAGUGGUGAAAUGCGCAGAUAUCGGGAAGAACACCUAUGGCGAAGGCAGCUCUCUGGGACGGUACUGACGCUGAGACGCGAAAGCGUGGGGAGCGAACAGG
rnacentral:rRNA from 1 species